rnacentral:rRNA from 1 species
AACGAACGCUGGCGGCAUGCCUAACACAUGCAAGUCGAACGAGACCUUCGGGUCUAGUGGCGCACGUGUGCGUAACGCGUGGGAACCUGCCCUUAGGUUCGGAAUAACUCCCCUAAAGGGGUGCUAAUACCGGAUAAUGUCUUCGGACCAAAGAUUUAUCGCCUUUGGAUGGGCCCGCGUUGGAUUAGCUAGUUGGUAGGGUAAAAGCCUACCAAGGCGACGAUCCAUAGCUGGUCUGAGAGGAUGAUCAGCCACACUGGGACUGAGACACGGCCCAGACUCCUACGGGAGGCAGCAGUGGGGAAUAUUGGACAAUGGGGGAAAGUCUGAUCAAGCAAUGCCGCGUGAGUGAUGAAGGCGUUAGGGUUGUAAAGCUCUUUUACCCGGGAUGAUAAUGACAGUACCGGGAGAAUAAGCACCGGCUAACUACGUG